UUACCCGCAGGUUCCUUGGUUUGGCCCGGUGGCCUACCUCUCACCGCAUACUGCUGCACGGCCCACGUGUGCCUCACAAGAUGUACCCGCGCACCUCCUCAGUCACACCCCUGCUGCCACCCGCACCCCAGCCGGCAUCCCCUCACCAGUGCAGACCCGCUCAGGAGAGGAUGAUUACCAGCUCCUUUUGGUUAGUGAACAGGGUGAACUGUUCAUGUUCCUGUGUUACAAAUGGAAGAGAAAGACAGUAAUCUGCUCAAGGGCAGCUUGGAAGGUGCUACAGACUCCUAAAAGAAAAUCUGACAGAACCUUAUUCUGAAGCAGCAAUUUUAUCCUAAGAAGCAUCAACCCUUUUAACAUUUCUUCUGACUCUGGAAUGCUUUCGAAAUUUAUGUUCCUGGCAAUAUGGUUACAUAAUUUUACAAUGCAGGAUUCACCUUUAAAAUGUUCUUUGAAGGGGCACCUGGGUGGCUCAGUGGGUUAAAGCCUCUGCCUUCAGGUCAUGAUCUCAGGGUCCUGGAAUCCAGCCCCGUGAGCUCUCUGCUCAGCAGGGAGCCCGCU